UACGUAGGGUGCAAGCGUUGUCCGGAAUUAUUGGGCGUAAAGAGCUCGUAGGCGGUCUGUCGCGUCUGCUGUGAAAACUCAGGGCUUAACCCUGAGCUUGCAGUGGGUACGGGCAGACUAGAGUGGCGGUAGGGAGACUGGAAUUCCUGGUGUAGCGGUGAAAUGCGCAGAUAUCAGGAGGAACACCGGUGGCGAAGGCGGGUCUCUGGGCCGUA
rnacentral:rRNA from 1 species